AACAGGUCGCGUCGUACACAAUGAAACUGGGCUGUAUCAACUGGCUCAUGCAGAAAGGGGGGGACAGGAGGAGGGAGGGACGAGCGUGAGCCUGGACGAUGUAGAGAGAGAGAGAGAGAGCUAGGGAGAGAGAGAGAGAGAAGUAGUGUUCAGUGAUUUUACCGAGUAUGAGUAUGCGCGCGCUCUCCUGCAAACCAAAAUAUCAUCUGCAUUUAAUAAAUACACACGAUUAUGCCUUAUUUCAUUGACUUCGGUGUAUUAUUCGCAGAGAAAGGAGGGACAGCUGGUCUACAGUACGAGAAUUGACAGUACUUACAGACGGCGUAUAAUGCGUGUUAUAAUAUACUCAUUUAGCUGUGCGAAGAUGCGUUAAGAAUACUGUAUGCUGACAGCCUGUGAUUCAUAUUUUGGUGUAUCAACAGGAAAUCUGCCUCUGCAACAUUAUGAUCUUUUCACUUGUGAGAUCUGUGAUUUUCGAAAAAUACAGUCAUCCGUUCAUUUAUUUGACAAGACUCUUAUUCUAAUACAGGGCCACAGAGAGGCUGGAACUAAUUCCUAUGAGACUAAGAUGAAUAUGUUGAAUUUUGUACCUUUUCUAUACCUGCUGCAUUAAAAAAAUAAACUUAAUCUCUAUGUAAUAAGAUACCAUUAUGAAAAGUUAA